GAGAGAUUGAGGAGAGAGAAAAUAAAAGAAAAUAGAAAAAGAAAAAUUAAAAUCUUUUAAAAUUAUUUUUAAUUUCAAUUUUGACAAAUUCGGUCAAUUGAAUAAAAUUACAACCAAUUUAGUCAAUUUGGCUUACAUUGUCAAAAUUGAAAAGUUUGGAUAAAAUUGCUAAUUCACGUAAAUGUUUGGAUGUUUAGUGUAAUUAGGCUUUUUAAAUAUUUGUGAAAUAAAAUUGUUAUUUGGUUUUGGAUAAGUUAAUA
rnacentral:misc_RNA from 1 species